rnacentral:rRNA from 1 species
AGCGAACGCUGGCGGCAGGCCUAACACAUGCAAGUCGAACGAACCUUUCGGGGUUAGUGGCGGACGGGUGAGUAACACGUGGGAACGUGCCUUUAGGUUCGGAAUAACUCAGGGAAACUUGUGCUAAUACCGAAUGUGCCCUUCGGGGGAAAGAUUUAUCGCCUUUAGAGCGGCCCUCGUCUGAUUAGCUAGUGGGUUGAGGUAAUGGGUCACCAAGGCGACGAUCAGUAGCUGGUCUGAGAGGAUGAUCAGCCACAUUGGGACUGAGACACGGCCCAAACUCCUACGGGAGGAAGCAGUGGGGAAUCUUGCGCAAUGGGCGAAAGCCUGACGCAGCCAUGCCGCGUGAAUGAUGAAGGUCUUAGGAUUGUAAAAUUCUUUCACCGGGGACGAUAAUGACGGUACCCGGAGAAGAAGCCCCGGCUAACUUCGUG